rnacentral:rRNA from 1 species
AGUCCCGCAACGAGCGCAACCCUCGUCCUAUGUUGCCAGCACGUAAUGGUGGGAACUCAUGGGAGACUGCCGGGGUCAACUCGGAGGAAGGUGGGGAUGACGUCAAAUCAUCAUGCCCCUUAUGUCUUGGGCUUCACGCAUGCUACAAUGGCCAGUACAAAGGGCUGCAAUACCGUAAGGUGGAGCGAAUCCCAAAAAGCUGGUCUCAGUUCGGAUUGAGGUCUGCAACUCGACCUCAUGAAGUCGGAGUCGCUAGUAAUCGCAGAUCAGCAACGCUGCGGUGAAUACGUUCCCGGGCCUUGUACACACCGCCCGUCAAGUCACGAAAGUCGGUAACACCCGAAGCCGGUGGCCUAACC